AACGAACGCUGGCGGCGUGGAUAAGACAUGCAAGUCGAACGAGAGUUUGUUUAUAGCAAUAUGAGCGAACUUUAGUGGCGAAAGGGUGCGUAACACGUGGCUAUCUACCUCGAAGUGGGGGAUAUCUCCGAGAAAUCGGAGUUAAUACCGCAUGUGACCGCAAGGUCAAAGCGGGGGAUCGAAAGACCUCGCGUCUGAAGAGGAGCCUGCGGCGGAUUAGCUAGUUGGAAGGUAAUGGCUUACCAAGGCUACGAUCCGUAACCGGCCUGAGAGGGCGGUCGGUCACACUGACACUGACAUACGGGUCAGACUCCUACGGGAGGCAGCAGUCGGGAAUUUUGGGCAAUGGGCGAAAGCCUGACCCAGCAACGCCG
rnacentral:rRNA from 1 species